rnacentral:rRNA from 1 species
UACAGAGGGUGCGAGCGUUGUUCGGAAUUAUUGGGCGUAAAGCGCUUGUAGGCGGCACGUCAAGUCGCGUGUGAAAUCCCCAGGCUUAACCUGGGAAGUGCGCGCGAAACUGACGAGCUUGAGUGCCGGAGAGGGUCGCGGAAUUCCCGGUGUAGAGGUGAAAUUCGUAGAUAUCGGGAGGAACACCAGUGGCGAAGGCGGCGAUCUGGGAAGAUACUGACGCUGAGGUGCGAAAGCGUGGGGAGCAAACAGG